UACGUAGGGGGCAAGCGUUGUCCGGAUUUAUUGGGCGUAAAGAGCGUGUAGGCGGCCAGGUAGGUGGGUUGUGAAAACUGGAGGCUCAACCUUCAGAGGUCGACCCAAACCCCCUGGCUAGAGUCCGGAAGAGGAGAGUGGAAUUCCUGGUGUAGCGGUGAAAUGCGCAGAUAUCAGGAAGAACACCCGUGGCGAAGGCGGUUCUCUGGGACGGUACUGACGCUGAGACGCGAAAGCGUGGGGAGCGAACAGG
rnacentral:rRNA from 1 species